rnacentral:rRNA from 1 species
GACGAACGCUGGCGGCGUGCUUAACACAUGCAAGUCGUACGGUAAGGCCCUUUCGGGGGUACACGCGUGGCGAACGGGUGAGUAACACGUGAGUAACCUGCCCACAACUUUGGGAUAACGCUAGGAAACUGGUGCUAAUACUGGAUAUGUGCUCCUGCUGCAUGGUGGGGGUUGGAAAGCUCCGGCGGUUGUGGAUGGACUCGCGGCCUAUCAGCUUGUUGGUGGGGUAGUGGCCUACCAAGGCGGCGACGGGUAGCCGGCCUGAGAGGGUGACCGGCCACAUUGGGACUGAGAUACGGCCCAGACUCCUACGGGAGGCAGGAGUGGGGAAUAUUGCACAAUGGGCGCAAGCCUGAUGCAGCAACGCCGCGGGCGGGAUGACGGCCUUCGGGUUGGAAACCGCUUUCAGCAGGGACGAAGCUUUUUGUGACGGUACCUGCAGAAGAAGCACCGGCUAACUACGUG